rnacentral:rRNA from 1 species
UACGGAGGGUGCAAGCGUUAAUCGGAAUUACUGGGCGUAAAGCGUGCGUAGGCGGUUUCUUAAGUCUGCUGUGAAAGCCCCGGGCUCAACCUGGGAAUGGCGGUGGAUACUGAGAAGCUGGAGUACGGUAGAGGAAGGUGGAAUUCCCGGUGUAGCGGUGAAAUGCGUAGAGAUCGGGAGGAACAUCAGUGGCGAAGGCGGCCUUCUGGACCAGUACUGACGCUGAGGCACGAAAGCGUGGGGAGCAAACAGG